rnacentral:rRNA from 1 species
UACGUAGGGUGCGAGCGUUGUCCGGAAUUAUUGGGCGUAAAGGGCUCGUAGGCGGUUUGUCGCGUCGGGAGUGAAAUCCACUGGCUUAACUGGUGGCUUGCUUUCGAUACGGGCAGACUGGAGGUAUGCAGGGGGGAACGGAAUUCCUGGUGUAGCGGUGAAAUGCGCAGAUAUCAGGAGGAACACCGGUGGCGAAGGCGGGUCUCUGGGCCGAAAUUGACGCUGAGGAGCGAAAGCGUGGGGAGCAAACAGG